rnacentral:rRNA from 1 species
AACGAACGCUGGCGGCAGGCUUAACACAUGCAAGUCGAGCGCCCCGCAAGGGGAGCGGCAGACGGGUGAGUAACGCGUGGGAACGUACCCUUUACUACGGAAUAGCUCCGGGAAACUGGAAUUAAUACCGUAUGUGCCCUUCGGGGGAAGGAUUUAUCGGUAAAGGAUCGGCCCGCGUUGGAUUAGCUAGUUGGUGGGGUAAAGGCCUACCAAGGCGACGCUCCAUAGCUGGUCUGAGAGGAUGAUCAGCCACAUUGGGACUGAGACACGGCCCGAUCGCCUACGGGAGGCAGUAGUGGGGAAUCUUGGACAAUGGGCGGCAGCCUGAUCCAGCCAUGCCGCGUGAGUGAUGAAGGCCUUAGGGUUGUAAAGCUCUUUCACCGAUGGAGAUAAUGACGGUAGUCGGAGAAGAAGCCCCGGCUAACUUCGUGCCAGCAGCCGCAGUAGCAC